CAUGGUUCGAUAGUGAAAGAUGGCUUUGCUAUCACUUAUAGAUGGACCUGCGCCGUAUUAGCUAGUUGGUAAGGUAACGGCUUACCAAGGCAACGAUACGUAGCCGACCUGAGAGGGUGAUCGGCCACACUGGAACUGAGACACGGUCCAGACUCCUACGGGAGGCAGCAGUAGGGAAUCUUCCGCAAUGGGCGAAAGCCUGACGGAGCAACGCCGCGUGAGUGAUGAAGGUCUUCGGAUCGUAAAACUCUGUUAUUAGGGAAGAACAAACGUGUAAGUAACUGUGCACGUCUUGACGGUACCUAAUCAGAAAGCCACGGCUAACUACGUGCCAGCAGCCGCGGUAAUACGUAGGUGGCAAGCGUUAUCCGGAAUUAUUGGGCGUAAAGCGCGCGUAGGCGGUUUUU
rnacentral:rRNA from 1 species